GCCCGCUUGGCGGAACCGGUAGACGCAACGGACUUAAAAUCCGUUUCCUUCGGGAGUGGGGGUUCGAGUCCCCCAGCGGGCACCA
rnacentral:tRNA from 1 species